UAACACAUAUAUAUCCUACUUGGUAAAAU
rnacentral:sRNA from 1 species